rnacentral:rRNA from 1 species
CCUACGGGUGGCAGCAGUGAGGAAUAUUGGUCAAUGGGCGAGAGCCUGAACCAGCCAAGUAGCGUGAAGGAUGAAUGAUCUAUGGUUUGUAAACUUCUUUUAUAUGGGAAUAAAGUGAUGAACGUGUUCCUUUUUGUAUGUACCAUAUGAAUAAGCAUCGGCUAACUCCGUGCCAGCAGCCGCGGUAAUACGGAGGAUGCGAGCGUUAUCCGGAUUUAUUGGGUUUAAAGGGUGCGUAGGUGGUUAAUUAAGUCAGCUGUGAAAGUUUGUGGCUCAACCAUAAAAUUGCCGUUGAAACUGGUUGUCUUGAGUAUAGUUGAGGUAGGCGGAAUGCGUGGUGUAGCGGUGAAAUGCAUAGAUAUCACGCAGAACUCCGAUUGCGAAGGCAGUUCACUAAACUAUAACUGACACUGAGGCACGAAAGCGUGGGGAUCAAACAGGAUUAGAUACCCUAGUAGUC